UAUUCAAAUAAAUAUAAGAUGAAAGAAGCAGCAGAAAAUGUCAGUGGAAUGAAAAACUAAAAUUGGAUUAAGCGAGUGUGCUAUUCUAAACUCGUUCGAUCUUUCUGUAUCCACAACGUGGAGCAGAACACUGUGCGCAACCACAUUAAAUCGGGCUGAACUUUAUACGGAUAUCAUCGAGGUCGACCUGUUCGGACCUGUUGGCAUCAGCUGUUUUUGAUGGAUGGUUAAAAAUCGCAUACGAAAGGGCGGGCUAUAGGCUCUGCACACCGAGAUAGGCUCACGGCGGAACGUUUGAAUUUUUUGAAAUAUGUGAAAAAACACCUGAUACGCAUAAAAUACCAAGGUUUUUGUCUGAACAGGGAAAUUGAUACAAUUUUAUAUUAGUAAAUUAGGUUUUUAAUGGCUUUAAAAAACAAUUUAGUCAUAAAAAAUCAAAUACAUACAAGUUAACGUA